UACGUAGGGAGCAAGCGUUGUCCGGAAUCAUUGGGCGUAAAGCGCGCGUAGGCGGCCCUGUAAGUCCGCUGUGAAAGUCAAAGGCUCAACCUUUGAAAGCCGGUGGAUACUGCAGGGCUAGAGUCCGGAAGAGGCGAGUGGAAUUCCUGGUGUAGCGGUGGAAUGCGCAGAUAUCAGGAGGAACACCAAUAGCGAAGGCAGCUCGCUGGGACGGUACUGACGCUAAGGCGCGAAAAGCGUGGGGAGCGAACAGG
rnacentral:rRNA from 1 species